rnacentral:rRNA from 1 species
GGUCAAGCUACUAAGGGUGUGCGGUGGAUGCCUAGGCGUUAAGAGGCGAAGAAGGACGUGGUAGGCUGCGAUAAGCCCCGGGGAGCUGUCAAACGAGCUUUGAUCCGGGGAUUUCCGAAUGGGGCAACCCACCGACAGCGGGCAACCGUCUGUCGGUAUCGGCGGGUGAAUGUAUAGCCCGUCGAAGCGAACGCAGGGAACUGAAACAUCUCAGUACCUGCAGGAGAAGAAAUCAACCGAGACUCCGUCAGUAGCGGCGAGCGAAGGCGGAUCAGCCCAAACCGUGGUGCUUGCACCGCGGGGUUGCGGACCCUCGAGGGGUUACAAAAGUCGUGUUAGUCGAACGAUCUGGAAAGGUCGAGCACAGAAGGUGACACUCCUGUAGACGAAAACAUAGACUCCCCGUUGAGAGGGUAUCCAGAGUAGCGUCGGGCUCGUGGAACCCGGCGUGAACCCGGGGGGACCACCCUCCAAGGCUAAGUACUCCUUAACGACCGAUAGUGCACAAGUAGGGUGACUGAAAGGUGAAAAGAACCGCUACAAGCGGAGUCCAAAGAACCUGAAACCGCAUACUUACAAGCAGUGGGAGCACGAUGCCGCUUGCGGCGCGUGUGACCGCGUGCCUUUUGCAUAAUGAACCGGCGAGUCAAGGUGUGCAGCAAGGUUAACCCGUUCCGCGGGGUAGCCGAAGCGAAAGCGAGUCUGAAUAGGGCGACUAGUUGCAUGCUUUGGACGCGAACCCAGUUGAUCUACCCAUGGCCAGGCUGAAGUGCCCUUAACCGGGCACGGAGGGCCGAACUCAUUAACGUUGAAAAGUUAUGGGAUGAGCUGUGGGGGGGAGUAAAAGUCUAAUCAAAACUGGAGAUAUCUCGUUCUCCCCGAAAUCGCUUUUGGGCUAGCCUCGGGGCAACUACAUCAUGGGGGUAGAGCUACUGAAUGAGACGAGGGGGCCACCAGCCUACCUCCCUCAACCAAACUCCGAAUACCAUGAUGACUAUCCCGGGAGUCAGUCUGCGGGGGCUAACCUUCGUGGACAAAAGGGAAACAACCCAGAUCGUCGGCUAAGGUCCCAAAUCCAUGCUAAGUGCGUAAGGAAGUCCUUUCUCUGAGACAGCGGGGAUGUUAGCUUAGAAGCAGCUACCAUUUAAAAAGUGCGUAAUAGCUUACCCGUCGAGAGAUUGGGCGCCGAUAAUGAACGGGACUAAGCAUGGAACCGAAGCCACGGGACUAGAAACUAGAAACUAGACACUGGAGACAGCCUUGGUGAUGCGCGCGGCCAACUAUGAGACGUUGGCAGGUGCUUGCCUCUUGUUUCCAGUUUCCAGUUUCUAGUUUCUGGUCGGUAGGGGAGCGUUGAUAGGCAGAUACAGGCCAUACCGUAAGGAGUGGUGGCGGGCCUAUCAAGUGAUUAUGCCGGUUUGAGUAACGAUAAACAGGGUGAAAAUCCCUGUCGCCGUAAGCCCAAGGGUUCCUGGGGAAGGGAAAUCCGCCCAGGGUUAGUCGGAACCUAAGGCGAGGCCGAAAGGCGUAGUCGAUGGACAGCAGGUUAAUAUUCCUGCACUCCGUGGUGCGAUCAAACCGCCGUGCGCUUUUUCAAGAUGCAGCCCACGACAAGAGGCGAGGGUGCCCGCAAGGGCGAGGCCAAUUUGUUGUCGAAGUGCGUGGAGAAAGAGCCAAGAAAAGCGGCGGGGGCAAUCUGCGGAUCCGUACCAAAACUGACACAGGUGGGCGAGGCGAGUAGCCUCAGGCGCUCGAGAGAACGGUCCUUAAGGAACUAGGCAAUUUGACCCCGUAACUUCGGGAAAAGGGGUCCCUACCCCUUCGGGGGAGGGCACAGAGAAUCGGCUCUGGCGACUGUUUAUCAAAAACACAGGUCUCUGCCAACACGAAUAGUGGACGUAUAGAGACUGACGCCUGCUCGGUGUGGGAAUGUUAAGGAAGCCGGUCAGCCGCAAGGUGAAGCUGGCAACCGAAGCACCCAUAAACGGCGGCCCUAACUAUGAGGGUCCUAAGGUAGCGAAAUUCCUUGUCGGGUAAGUUCCGACGCGCAUGAAUGGCGUAACGACUGGAGCACUGUCUCAAGGACCGACUCGGUGAAAUAGUAGUCGUGGUGAAGAUACCACGUACCCGCGGCAAGACGGAAAGACCCCGUGAACCUUUACUGUAACCUGGUAUUGGCCGCAGGCUGCAAAUGCGUAGGAUAGGUGGGAGGCGAUGAUCCAGCCGUUCCGGCGGUUGGGAAGCCAACGUUGAAAUACCACCCUUUUGUUGCUUGUUUCCUCACCCUGCACCGUCAAUCCGGGCAGGGGACAGUGCUAGGCGGGCAGUUUGACUGGGGCGGUCUCCUCCCAAAGAGUAACGGAGGAGUGCAAAGGUCGGCUCAGCACGGUUGGCAAUCGUGCGUCGAGUGCAAAGGCACAAGCCGGCUUAACUGCGAGAUAUACCCAUCGAGCAGAUGCGAAAGCAGGCCUUAGUGAUCCGGUGGUCCUGUGUGGAAGGGCCAUCGCUCAUCGGAUAAAAGGUACUCCGGGGAUAACAGGCUAAUGACUCCCGAGCGUUCAUAGCGGCGGAGUCGUUUGGCACCUCGAUGUCGGCCCAUCGCAUCCUGGGGCUGAAGGCGGUCCCAAGGGUUCGGCUGUUCGCCGAUUAAAGCGGUACGCGAGCUGGGUUCAGACCGGCGCGAGCCAGGUCGGUCCCUAUCUGCCGUGGGCGUACGAGACUUGCGAGUAUGUCUCUUUAGUACGAGAGGAUUAAGAGGCACGUGCCUCUAGUGUACCAGCUGUCCCGCUCGGGGCAUCGCUGGGUAGCUACGCACGGAAAGGAUAACCGCUGAAUGCAUCUAAGUGGGAAGCCCCACUCAAGAUCAGGUCUCGGCAGCGCAAGCUGGAAGGCUCCUGGAAGACCACCAGGUCGAUAGGCGGGAGGUGUAAGCGUAGAGAUACGUUGAGCUGACCCGUACUAAUAGCCUAUCGCUUGACCGC